GAGGAAGGAGGAAUAAUCGUAACAAGGUUUCUGUAGGUGAACUGCGGAAGG
rnacentral:rRNA from 1 species